GCUGGCGGCAGGCUUAACACAUGCAAGUCGAACGAAGUCUUCGGACUUAGUGGCAGACGGGUGAGUAACGCGUGGGAACCUACCCUUUGGUACGGAACAACAGUUGGAAACGACUGCUAAUACCGUAUGAGCCCUACGGGGGAAAGAUUUAUCGCCAAAGGAUGGGCCCGCGUUGGAUUAGCUAGUUGGUGGGGUAAAAGCCUACCAAGGCGACGAUCCAUAGCUGGUCUGAGAGGAUGAUCAGCCACACUGGGACUGAGACACGGCCCAGACUCCUACGGGAGGCAGCAGUGGGGAAUAUUGGACAAUGGGGGCAACCCUGAUCCAGCCAUGCCGCGUGAGUGAUGAAGGCCCUAGGGUUGUAAAGCUCUUUCAGCGAGGAGGAUAAUGACGUUACUCGCAGAAGAAGCCCCGGCUAACUUCGUGCCAGCAGCCCGCGGUAAUACGAAGGGGGCUAGCCGUUGUUCGGAAUACUGGGCGUAAAGCGCACGUAGGCGGACUUUUAAGUCA
rnacentral:rRNA from 1 species